CCUACGGGAGGCAGCAGUGGGGAAUAUUGGGCAAUGGGCGCAAGCCUGACCCAGCAACGCCGCGUGAAGGAAGAAGGCUUUCGGGUUGUAAACUUCUUUUAUCAGGGACGAAGCAAGUGACGGUACCUGAUGAAUAAGCCACGGCUAACUACGUGCCAGCAGCCGCGGUAAUACGUAGGUGGCAAGCGUUAUCCGGAUUUACUGGGUGUAAGGGGCGUGUAGGCGGGAGUGCAAGUCAGAUGUGAAAACUAUGGGCUAAACCCAUAGCCUGCAUUUGAAACUGUACUUCUUGAGUGCUGGAGAGGCAAUCGGAAUGCCGUGUGUAGCGGUGAAAUGCGUAGAUAUAAGGAGGAACACCAGUGGCGAAGGCGGAUUGCUGGACAGUAACUGACGCUGAGGCGCGAAAGCGUGGGGAGCAAACAGGAUUAGAUACCCGGGUAGUC
rnacentral:rRNA from 1 species